GUGCUUGCAUCAUGAUUUACAUUUGAGUGAGUGGCGAACUGGUGAGUAACACGUGGGAAACCUGCCCAGAAGCGGGGGAUAACACCUGGAAACAGAUGCUAAUACCGCAUAACAACUUGGACCGCAUGGUCCGAGUUUGAAAGAUGGCUUCGGCUAUCACUUUUGGAUGGUCCCGCGGCGUAUUAGCUAGAUGGUGGGGUAACGGCUCACCAUGGCAAUGAUACGUAGCCGACCUGAGAGGGUAAUCGGCCACAUUGGGACUGAGACACGGCCCAAACUCCUACGGGAGGCAGCAGUAGGGAAUCUUCCACAAUGGACGAAAGUCUGAUGGAGCAACGCCGCGUGAGUGAAGAAGGGUUUCGGCUCGUAAAACUCUGUUGUUAAAGAAGAACAUAUCUGAGAGUAACUGUUCAGGUAUUGACGGUAUUUAACCAGAAAGCCACGGCUAACUACGUGCCAGCAGCCGCGGUAAUACGUAGGUGGCAAGCGUUGUCCGGAUUUAUUGGGCGUAAAGCGAGCGCAGGCGGUUUUUUAAGUCUGAUGUGAAAGCCUUCGGCUCAACCGAAGAAGUGCAUCGGAAACUGGGAAACUUGAGUGCAGAAGAGGACAGUGGAACUCCAUGUGUAGCGGUGAAAUGCGUAGAUAUAUGGAAGAACACCAGUGGCGAAGGCGGCUGUCUGGUCUGUAACUGACGCUGAGGCUCGAAAGUAUGGGUAGCAAACAGGAUUAGAUACCCUGGUAGUCCAUACCGUAAACGAUGAAUGCUAAGUGUUGGAGGGUUUCCGCCCUUCAGUGCUGCAGCUAACGCAUUAAGCAUUCCGCCUGGGGAGUACGGCCGCAAGGCUGAAACUCAAAGGAAUUGACGGGGGCCCGCACAAGCGGUGGAGCAUGUGGUUUAAUUCGAAGCUACGCGAAGAACCUUACCAGGUCUUGACAUACUAUGCAAAUCUAAGAGAUUAGACGUUCCCUUCGGGGACAUGGAUACAGGUGGUGCAUGGUUGUCGUCAGCUCGUGUCGUGAGAUGUUGGGUUAAGUCCCGCAACGAGCGCAACCCUUAUUAUCAGUUGCCAGCAUUAAGUUGGGCACUCUGGUGAGACUGCCGGUGACAAACCGGAGGAAGGUGGGGAUGACGUCAAAUCAUCAUGCCCCUUAUGACCUGGGCUACACACGUGCUACAAUGGAUGGUACAACGAGUUGCGAACUCGCGAGAGUAAGCUAAUCUCUUAAAGCCAUUCUCAGUUCGGAUUGUAGGCUGCAACUCGCCUACAUGAAGUCGGAAUCGCUAGUAAUCGCGGAUCAGCAUGCCGCGGUGAAUACGUUCCCGGGCCUUGUACACACCGCCCGUCACACCAUGAGAGUUUGUAACACCCAAAGUCGGUGGGGUAACC
rnacentral:rRNA from 2 species